ensembl:ncRNA F35B3.8 ncRNA
AUGAUAAUGAAGUGACUUGGAGGACACGAACUGGGUGGCAAAGGGAGUGUUGAUAACCGAGGCACGAAAACAGUGACGGCGGUUGGGGUUUGAAGGUCAGUGAACGAAGAAGUCAAAGGCCCUCUCUCGUCUUCCCGCA